rnacentral:rRNA from 1 species
UCGAGUGCGCAGCUUCCUGUAGCAAUACAGGGAGUGGGCGCACGGCGCACGGGUGAGUAACACGUGGGCAAUCUGCCCUCGGAAGGGGGAUAACUCGUCGAAAGGCGAGCUAAUACCGCAUGACAUUCCGAAGACUCCGGUCUUUGGAUUCAAAGGCCGCAAGGCCGUCUGAGGAGGAGCCCGCGCCCGAUUAGCUAGUUGGUGAGGUAACGGCUCACCAAGGCUUUGAUCGGUAGCCGGUCUGAGAGGAUGGCCGGCCACACUGGAACUGAGACACGGUCCAGACUCCUACGGGAGGCAGCAGUGGGGAAUAUUGCGCAAUGGGCGAAAGCCUGACGCAGCGACGCCGCGUGGGGGAUGAAGCUUCUCGGAGUGUAAACCCCUUUCGACCCGGACGAAUGACCCGCAAGGGUUUGACGGUACGGGUAUAAGAAGCCCCGGCUAACUACGUGCCAGCAGCCGCGGUAAUACGUAGGGGGCCAGCGUUGCUCGGAAUUACUGGGCGUAAAGGGUUCGUAGGUGGUGCGGCAAGUUGGAAGUGAAAUCUCUGGGCUUAACCCAGAGGCUGCUUUCAAAACUGCCGCGCUCGAGUGCGAGAGAGGUCAGUGGAAUUGCAGGUGUAGCGGUGAAAUGCGUAGAUAUCUGCAGGAACACCCGUGGCGAAGGCGGCUGACUGGAUCGCAACUGACACUGAGGAACGAAAGCUAGGGGAGCAAACAGGAUUAGAUACCCUGGUAGUCCUAGCCCUAAACCAUCGG